UGCCAGCCGCCGCGGUAAUACGGAGGGUGCAAGCGUUGUUCGGAAUUAUUGGGCGUAAAGCGCGUGUAGGCGGUUCGUUAAGUCUGAUGUGAAAGCCCGGGGCUCAACCCCGGAAGUGCAUUGGAAACUGGCGAACUUGAGUACGGGAGAGGAAAGUGGAAUUCCGAGUGUAGGGGUGAAAUCCGUAGAUAUUCGGAGGAACACCAGUGGCGAAGGCGACUCACUGGACCAUUAUUGACGCUGAGGCGCGAAGGCGUGGGUAGCGAACGGGAUUAGAUA
rnacentral:rRNA from 1 species